UCUUCUUCAUUUUUUCACUCCACACUGAAGUGAAACUAGGGUUUCUUCUCUCUACUGCCGCUCCUUCCAUUCUCUCCACUACUGCUCCAUCUCUUCACGGUGACCCUCUCUUUCUCUCAAAAGUCACCCACCCUUGUGGCCUUGCUUCUUCUUCUUCUUCUUCUUCUUUCUUCUCUGUCAGCUCUCCUUCAGAUUCAGCCUUAGGGAAGUCGCGUUCUUCUCAUUCCUUCGUCAAAUUCGGCCUUCGGGAUGUCAAAUUUCUUGCAAGGUCGCAGCUCCGUUUCAGUCCCGUUCUUCGGGUAUUUACGCAAGAGCAGCUACGGAGAAGAGUCUCUUUGUUUGGAUAUUGACGGUAAAGAUGUUUCUGAAGGAUGAUUCUCUAGUAAAUUCAAGGGAAAGGUGCUUUUGAUUGUAAAUGUUGCUUCAAGAUGUGGUUUGACAACUUCAAAUUACUCCGAGCUAUCACACUUGUAUGAGAAGUACAAGACUCAAGGUACAUAUACACCGUGGCUAUGAUGUUUAAUUUGGUAAGUAUGCUUUGCUUCACUCUAACGGCCAUCCCCACCAAUAUGUCGAAGUUAGUUAUAAAGUAGCUGGAAAGUUAGAGGCAAUAUCAGCUAUGCCUGUUUACAAAGAUAAAAGCCACGAAGAACUGAGAUGGGAGGACUAUCAGUUGGGAGAUAAAGGUGGAUCAACACCCACUGCUCAAUCCACAGGGAUUUUUAGUUCAUCUACUUCACAGCCAAGUGUUUUGGGUCCUUCACCUUCAUUUACUCAAUCAUCCUCAAGUCUAUUUUCUAACACCACUUCUAAUCUAUUUGCUCCAAAACCUCCAGUCUUUAGUAGUACAGGUUCACCAACGUGUUCUGUUUUUUUUUGUUUGUACUUGCAGCCAUCUUAAUAUCAACCUCAACCUUAAGCGGAAACAUACUCCAACAAUAUUGAUUCUAUUAUUUAUGUAGCUCUUUCUAGUUUGGUACCUUCGGUUUGAACAUAUAUGCUUCUGUAGUUGAUUGAGUGUUUGGUGUUUCCUGCUAUUAUUAACAAGUGUUUAUCAAAUUUCUGGGUAUGGUAAUUAGAAACAAAUGAUGUGUUUAUCAUAUAUGCUUCUGUAGUUGAUUGAGUGUUUGGAGGCUAAUGGACGAUUGAUUAGUGGUCGCUGGUUCCUUGUUUUGUUUUGUUCUUGUCUUUUGUGUGCUCUCUCCCUUUUUGUUUUUUUUUUCUUUUGUUUUUUGGUUUUUUGGUUUUUAAAAACUAAUGUUCUCUUUUGUUAAUCUUCUGAAGUGCUUAGAUAAUAUCCAAUUGAAUUCUGUUUAUUGUUGCAGAAGAUUCACGUGAAGAUGGUCUUGUUCAGGAGAAAGUCAAUCUUGUUAAAGUGAACCAGAAAUCUAAUGAAGGACAUGAUGACCAUAAUAUCAUUUCUUUCUAAUGCAUAAUCAAUGGCAGAGAAGGAUCGUCUCGGAGCACAUCAAUUUCCUGAAAAAAAGGCGUAGAGCCUUACAAGAGGAGAACACACGCCUCCUGAAAAAAGUGGGAUUUCAAAUUAGUCAUAUUAUAAUUUUGUGUAUCUCCAUGCAACAAUAUCUUUUUCAUGACUUGUGCAUUCAAAGUUUCAAGUUAAUCAUAUAUGUAUUGCUGGAGUUUGACACAGCGUAGAGCCCAGGCCCUCCUCCUAGGCCAGGCCCCCCUCCUAGGCCAGGCCCUCCCAGCCCAGGCCCCCA